rnacentral:rRNA from 1 species
AGAGUUUGAUCAUGGCUCAGGACGAACGCUGGCGGCGCGCUUAACACAUGCAAGUCGAGCGAGAACCGGCCCUUCGGGGCCGGGGAAAGCGGCGAACGGGUGAGUAACACGUGAGUAACCUGCCCUCGGCACCGGGAUAGCCCGGGGGAAACCCGGAUUAAUACCGGAUGGCCUUCCGAGCUCUCGGGCUCGGCAGAAAAGGUGGCUUCGGCUUCCGGCCGAGGAGGGGCUCGCGGCGGAUUAGCUUGUUGGCGGGGUAACGGCCCACCAAGGCGACGAUCCGUAGCUGGUCUGAGAGGACGAUCAGCCACACUGGGACUGAGACACGGCCCAGACUCCUACGGGAGGCAGCAGUGGGGAAUCUUGCGCAAUGGGCGAAAGCCUGACGCAGCGACGCCGCGUGCGGGAAGAAGGCCUUCGGGUUGUAAACCGCUUUCAGGAGGGACGAAGCCACUCGGGUUAAUAGCCCAGAGGGUGACGGUACCUCCAGAAGAAGCCCCGGCUAACUACGUGCCAGCAGCCGCGGUAAUACGUAGGGGGCAAGCGUUGUCCGGAUUUAUUGGGCGUAAAGAGCGUGUAGGCGGCCACACAGGUCCGUUGUGAAAACUCGAGGCUCAACCUCGAGACGUCGAUGGAAACCGUCUGGCUAGAGUCCGGA